AGAGUUUGAUCCUGGCUCAGAGCGAACGCUGGCGGCAGGCUUAACACAUGCAAGUCGAGCGGGCGUAGCAAUACGUCAGCGGCAGACGGGUGAGUAACGCGUGGGAACGUACCUUUUGGUUCGGAACAACCCAGGGAAACUUGGACUAAUACCGGAUAAGCCCUUACGGGGAAAGAUUUAUCGCCGAAAGAUCGGCCCGCGUCUGAUUAGCUAGUUGGUGAGGUAACGGCUCACCAAGGCGACGAUCAGUAGCUGGUCUGAGAGGAUGAUCAGCCACAUUGGGACUGAGACACGGCCCAAACUCCUACGGGAGGCAGCAGUGGGGAAUAUUGGACAAUGGGCGCAAGCCUGAUCCAGCCAUGCCGCGUGAGUGAUGAAGGCCCUAGGGUUGUAAAGCUCUUUUGUGCGGGAAGAUAAUGACGGUACCGCAAGAAUAAGCCCCGGCUAACUUCGUGCCAGCAGCCGCGGUAAUACGAAGGGGGCUAGCGUUGCUCGGAAUCACUGGGCGUAAAGGGUGCGUAGGCGGGUCUUUAAGUCAGGGGUGAAAUCCUGGAGCUCAACUCCAGAACUGCCUUUGAUACUGAAGAUCUUGAGUUCGGGAGAGGUGAGUGGAACUGCGAGUGUAGAGGUGAAAUUCGUAGAUAUUCGCAAGAACACCAGUGGCGAAGGCGGCUCGCUGGCCCGGAACUGACGCUGAGACGCGAAAGCGUGGGGAGCAAACAGGAUUAGAUACCCCAGUAGUCC
rnacentral:rRNA from 1 species